GUUUACGAGAAAUGUGCAAUUAAAUUUUUUAAGCGAAGACGGAAUUUUUCGUUCUUAAUUGCACGUCGCCGCUGCCGCGAGAUGUCGCACGGGCUGGAAGGAGUGCCAAUAGGAGUAUUGGAAAGCUGUUGGGAAUCGUGGACUGACCAGUUGAGCUGACCAGCGCGGUACCGGCCGUAGACGAAAGGGGCCCUUGGAUAAAGGGACGGAAAGCGGAAUGCUGAUUCCGUGGUGAGGGGUCGGCGGACAGACCAACAACGAAAGCAAAAAAUGGCCCCGUCUCGACUGGCUAAUUCCACGAGGUCAUCAGCUUUGGAUUAGAUAUCACAGAGCCUGUGAGAGAUCAGACAGAUGUCGUCCGCAUAGUCCAAGUCUUCAAGAUGUCUGUUGAAGUUCCACGUGAUGCCAAGCAUUCGUGCUUUCAGGAAUCGAACGCCAGGAGUAUGCUGGGGCGAACGGACGUCGACUGCACGGAACGUGGAAUGACUCAGGUGGUGCAGAACAAAAGAUCCGGCUCGAAGAACAAUGUUGGCGUGGGGCGAUGGGGUUAAAUUUCCAAAAUCUCAAAAACAAGAAAUAAAAUGGCGGCAACUCAAUUUUCAGUGGCUUCACUAACGUGUGCAGGAGAGAGGAUGCUGACGCCAGCAGCGCUCUGCUAGCAGAUGUUGCUAGCCUACGACGAGUGUUGCUAGCAGAGCAUUGCCACUUCAACAAUGCAUAUAUUAUUGCUAAGGUUUAAAGCUUAAAACUGGUCAUUCGUGCUUCAUCUGCAGAUGCCUUAAGGGAGUAGAAAUAUACUGGGUACAUUCUAUUAUCAUCCUGCUUUUGAAACAAUAUCGCACUAAAGCCUCUUGAACUUGCAUCCGUAUGAAGUUCAGUUUCCCGUUUCAGGCUGUAAAUUGACAGAACUGGCGGUGUGGACAAAAAAGACUUUAAUUUAUCAAAUGCUGCCAUUUAUGUUCCCUGCAUUGGAAAAGGUACCUUUUUUUUUUAAUAAUUCUACUAGCAGCUUACAAAUACUUGCGAAUGAUUGGACAAAACGCCGAAAGUACGAAAACAGCCCUAUACAAGAAUGCAACUCUCGUACAUUUGUUGGCAUUGGAUAAUUUUUUAUUGCUUGUAUGUGGUUGUCGUUCGGCAAAACUCCACUUCUGCUCACACCUAGGUAUUUAAUGGAUUUUCUAUAAAAUGUACUCUUUUUUUCUUUUAAUUUCUAAUCCUUUCCCACUCAACCGGCGAAGCAAUUUAGUCAGUGUAUCAAAGUGUUCUGCUAUACUUGUUGUUGCCACUACAAUGCCAUCCACAACGACCACAAUUUUAUAGUUUCGAACUAAAUCAUUUAAACUAUUUGCAAUAAAUAUUUGAAAAACUGAAGGGCCAUUUUUUAAUCCAAACGGCAUUCUGAGAAACUCAAACUAUCCCUGUGGAGUUACAAAGGCUGUACACUUAAUUGAAUCUUCGUCUACUCCUAUUUGGUGAAAUCCACUUUUAAGGUCAAUCACCGAAAAGCACGUCUUUCCUUCCAAAUAUUCUAACGGCAGAGGAAAACUAUCAAGCACAGUUAGCUUAUUUAAGCAUCUAUAAUCAACGCACCGAAGUAUAAUUUGAGAUGCAUACGGGGAGUUACUUGGCCUAAUUAUUCCUGCUACCAUCAAUUCCUCAAUUAUUUCUGACACCUUCCCCAUAUCAUCUCAUAAAAUGAAAAUCGUCUCUGACCAAAGCUAAAAGGGGUACUAUUAGUUAAUUGGAUGCUUAUUAUAGCCUGUACCCAAAGGGUAAAAGGCUAUACUAGUUUCGUGUGAAUGUAUGUAACAGGCAGAAGGAGACGUGGCAGACCCCUCAAGGUUUAGGUUAGAUGCGGCAGCUAGGGUGAAGUACCUUGACACACUUAGGCCCUGAAGAUUGGCCCAUUGUUAUACCGUGUGGACUGAUCCAAUUUCCAGUUUCCCGUGGUUAACUGCGUGUCUUUGCUUAUAUUACAUCCAUCCAGAAGCCUGGUUGAAUUUGAAAAUGUCCCUCGGUUUAUUUUCAGAUAAUUCCCAUAAGUCCGGGAAAGUGCUAGCCCCUAGAAAACGCUGUCUCGUCCUUAAUAGAGCUGGGCAGUCGCAGAAGAGGUGGGUAACAGUUUCCUCCUCUUCUACGUCUUUACAACUUCUGCAGAAGUCGUUGUGAUGGAGCCCCAGUCUGGCGGCUUGGUUGCCGACCAGCCAGUUCCCAGUGAUAGCUCUUAAUGUGGUUGAGCAUUGGAUUCUGCUUAAAUUGCAGAGGUCUGAGGAGCGUUUUUUGUUGCGAAUUGGCCACGUUAGACGCGUUAUUCUGGAGUCUGAACCGGAGGUUCACAUUUGAUCUGCUACAGAUUCAAAGUGGUUCCUGAUAGUCUACAGCUGGCCAUUGGUAUACCGCCACUCCCCUUGUCCGGAAGGAGAGAGACAGUGGUACCAUGUCUUGCCAGCUCAUGUGCUGUUCAACUUCCCUCAAUGUCCUUAUGUCCUGGAACCCAAAUGAGGUAAACAGAGAACUGUGCAGCCAUCUCGUGAAGAGAUUUGCGACAAUUCUGCACUGACAUCGAGUUCGAUGUGAUGGAGUUUAGGGAUUUUAUUGCCGCUAUAGUAUAUACAGAUUUCCGAGUAUAUACAGAUUUCUCUGGUGUUUGCUGCUGAGAAUUGCAGUGUGAGAAGAGCUUCCUUUAUGGAUAAAAUUUCUGCCUAAAAACAAGACCCCACAAAGUAUAUAUAUUAUUUAUCAGGGUGACAAUCCGAGUCGAUAUAGCCAUGUCCAUC